ACAUAUAUAACUCUCUCUCUAUAAUUUCUCCACGGCUCUUGUCGACUCAAGCGUUAGGAGCGGCGCACACGGUCGUGUUUUUUUUUGUUGUUGUUGUUUUGUUCUCCAUUGCGGUGCCCUCCCCAGUGCUGGUCGUCACUCGCCCGCUAGUUCUUAUUAUUAUUUUUUUUCCAUUUGUCGCGUACGCACAACGCUGUGCCGUGCAUUCCGUUGGACUGCGUCGCGCGGGCACGUGUGCGCGACAUCUUCCUUUUUCACGUGCUCUUGCGCACGCUCGGAUAGAGCAACGUCUGUGUUCAGAAUGACGUCGUACUUUAGCACUUCUCCUAAUGCGAAGCCGGACGAGUUGGCUUCCCCCAGGGCUGCGGCACCCCCGCGUCUGACGCCGACGCUUAUAGCUUCGAGGUCGUGGCAAGUGAUUACGUACCGAGUGCACACAUGGAGCGAAGCUACCGCCCCGGGCCCUACUCGCCGAAGCCGCUCUACUCCGACUGCAACGCCGGCACGCGAUUGCCACCGUUCCACCACGCAGAGGAUUGGGCGCCGCUGGCAAGCGUUCAAGCAGCAAGCGGUGGAGCACUUGGCAGCCAAGGCCGCUGCCAUAUGUACGGCUUCUCUCCUGUGUCAGAUGCCCCCAGCUACGACGUGCUACCCCUGAAUAACCACAGUCCACCUCUGCCGCCGCCGCCGAUCAACGCGGGCAAGGACGUUCUCCUGCACUCGCACAGAGAUGGUGGCAUGAACCCGUACACGUACCGCGGCCCAAACGCCGACUACACAAGCCGCAAGCAGAACCGGCUUCACCAGGACUUCAAGGCCCUUCCGAAGGAGGAACGUCAGCGUCUGGUGGAACGCGAGGCGGCGACGUCUGACUUGCUGGCCCGCACGGUGCACUUGCGCUUUCUGCCGUUGACGAUGCUGCAGAGCGAGCUGGGAGCGAUCUGCAGCGAGUGCGGCGAGUACCUGCGCGUCCGCAUCUGCGGCAAUUCAACGAACAACCAGAACUGGAUUUACGGCUUUGUCGAGUUUGCCACCACCGCGGGUGCUGAGGCGAUGAUGCGGCGCAGCGGGAUGGAGCUCAACAACGGGCCGGGUCGCCCGCCGCUGCGGCUCAAAUGCAACAGCGCGAAGCAGCCCAUCGUUGACCGCGUCUUCCACGACGCUGACCCCACGACUGGCAACCCGUGCAUCUUCGGCCUCGGAAACUUCGCCAAGCGCACCCUCGGCGACGCUCUCGAGAGCUACUACAACCUCAAGGAGAAGGAGGCGCAGCAGCUGCAGGACCCAACAGCGACCCCGUUCUCCGCAAGUGUUUCUCCGGGCUUAACGGCAGCUGCGGUUAGGCAGCCAGUUCGGCUGAGCCCUCACGCGCGCGCCUUUCAGCCAUCCUCAUCGCCGCUUCUAGGUGCGGAGUACCUCGCUGGCGUGCAUCAUGCCGCUUCUGGUACUGCGACAGCUGCCUCCAAUGGCGACCACUGGACUUCUCCUUUACUUCCCGUAGCCGCUGCAGCACGCAAGGCCGACUCUGACGCCGCAAGCACGGACUCCGCAACGGGUAUGACUUCGGCCGUCACGAAGCAUCACACCACUGGCGCGCAAGGUGCAGUGACGUUCGCGGGCACGCCGCCUUGCGCGACGCACUCACCGAGCCAGGACUACUCCACCUUCAACACGGCAACCUACAGCAGCGGUGCUGCCUCCCACGCGACGCCCGGCCAACCCGCGACCAACGACUCGGUAGCAGCGCGGCGUUGCGCAUCCUCCGCCUCCAACGCGGCCGCGGCACCGCUUGAGACGGUUGCCGCGGCGCUCUCGGUGCUAUCGGACCGCGUCGGCAGCGCGCUGCCUGACUUCCUACUGCCUCCCUCGAACGCGGUGGCGUUUCCCACGCACUCGGACUUGGCAGGCAACCAGCUGUCUCUGGCGCUACAGAACAUGAUGCUCACCGGGUCUGCCACGGACGGUGACGAGGUGCUAGAGCGCGGGCGAGAGCUGACGCUGCGGGCUAUCGGCCAGGCGCACUGCUUCUUGAAUUCUCAACAGGGCUUCUACGACGCGAUGGGCACCCUCCGAUCACUGGUGGAGCUGCUGGACUUUCACGCCGCGGUGACGGGUGGCGCAGGAGCGACGGGCUCCGGCGACCACACUGCUGAGCUUCCCCAACGCGCGACGCAGCUGCGCCUGCUCGCCAACCUUAUGAUGGCGCUGCUGUACAUGAUGAAGCGCAACCUCAGCGACGCCCUCCCACAUAUCCACGCGGUGGUGAUGAGCUGCAACGACAUCCCUGUUGUGUGCCUGUGGAAGACGCAGCAGCAGCAGCACUCUGCGCAGCAAAAGGUGACCGGUGGCAAAUCGGAAAGGCUCAAUGACACGCAUCGGUGGCAGGGGCUGGCAGUUGGCGAUAGCGUGUACGACAAGACCGAGGAGGCAGGCGACUACGGCUGCUUUGGAGCCCCGGCCAGCUUCCUGGAGGCGGUGCUGGAGAGCAUCCACGAGGAGGACAACGUGCACGAAGAAGAAGCCAAGAGCGCUUCAGCGAGCAACAGCAACAACGGUGACACCGCGAGUACCUCGUCCGCUGAGGCGCAGGCGCUGCUUCGGCGUGACCAGAACUUCCAUCGCUACGUGCUGAACGUGCUGGUCGCGAUUGGCCUCUCAAUGGAGGAGGCUCAUCCCGUGAUCACGCGCAGCGCGUACGCCUUGGCGGCUGGCCGUGCGCGUGACGUGCUGGGUACAGCCUCUGCAGAUCUGGACGAGUGCCUUGAGUCGACAGCGCCGAAUCCGAACCUGUGCGAUCGACUCUACGGCCCCAUGCCGAGCACCAGCAACGGCAACGGCGGCAGCAGCAGUGGUGGAAGAAGCAAGCGCGACAUCACCUUCUUCCCGCGCGUCUUCUUCACGACGGCGGAGGCGAUGCGCCAGGAUGUCCUUCGCAUGGCGGACACGGAGUUGUUUUGGCAGCGGUUGCCGCCGAAGCAGUGUGUGCAGUGCUACACUGAGUAGGGUGUUUGAAGGAGAAGUGCUAAGCGCCGCUGCGAUUAUAAAGAGAAUCAGCAGCGCUCGACUACCUAGUGGGACAGGCGAAGGUGCCAUUACUUCUCUUUCCUUUUUGGAGCUGUUGAAUCGUGUUCGUCCGCCUAGCGUGCCGCCCCCUCUCCUCUAUCCUAACUAUGUUUCUUGGAUGCUUGUGUUGCUCUUGUCUUAUCCCAAACGCGGUACGCUGGGCCUUCUCCAGCGUCGUCAUGUCAAUAUUGUUUUCUCUGCUCUUGUGCAUUGUGUGCCGGUCGCGUCUCUCUCUCUCCACAGCUUCUUACACUCCACAUACACACACACACACACAAGUAGGGGCAGACGAAAAGACCGCUUUUCCGGCGCGUAUGUUCAACUGCUCGUUCGAGCCUUCUUGGUAGGCGCCCCUUGUCGCCUUGUGGCUUCGUCUGUGAUGGUGUGCCAUUCCGAUCCCCAUUUCUCUCUCUGCGCUUUCUGAGAGAGCAACCGUAGCGAGCUGCUUUGUUACCUUUUUCUGCCUUGGCAGGGUGCUUGUAUUCCUCGGUUUUAUAUAUUGGCACCCCCUCCUAUCCGCUCCGUCUGCCGGUGUACUGUUCGUUCCUGAUCCCCCUCUCUUUUUUUCACGCGCACACACCGUCUCUGACACCAUCACUCGUUAAAUGUAGUACAGGGCGGUGAUGCGGUGUGUGCGUGUAGUAACAUCUGUUUUAUAUUUCCAUCGUAUUUCUGUCGUAUGGUUCUCCAGCACUUCGUAACCUACCCCCUACCUCCUCCUCCCCGCUCUUGUUUGAUUAGGAAACUAGCCGUGCCGUUUGCUGUAUUAUGAUUAUUAUUUUGUUGUCGUUGGUCCUCCCCCUUCCGUCACUGUGUGUGUUUGUGUGUGUGUUUGUAAUAGGUGUCUUCUCUCGAGACGUCGUUGCGUGGUGGCGUUCAUCGGUCACCAGGGCUAUACAUUUUGGUGUCUGGAAGGUAUUGACAACAGCAACACACAACAAACGCACCAGCAUUGCGCUUUCCGCUCUUGGCAGCAGGUGUCGAGGUAUGACGGUCGUUGCGGCGAAUGCUUGGCUAUGCUGUGUGCUUUUCGUUUGUAGGAGCCGUCGUUGGCCCGUCGCGUUGAUUGCCUUUCUCUGCUGCCCGCCUCGGCACAGUCCCUUCGCACGUUUUGUGGUGCGCGCGUAUUGUGCAGGUCGCGUUUGGCAUGUUUCGUCGGAUCUCCCUCCGUCCUCCCUGCACUUGUGUCGCGCCGCGGCGCCAUCGCCGACGCUACUUUCGCCUGCCCUCCCCCGCCCCGCCCCGCCCAAAUCCGCACCGUCUCUUUUCUCUCUCCUAGACCCGUUGCCCAUGGGCAUCCCCUCACGUGUUGCACGUUGCAUGUGUAUGUGUGUCGCAUCAUGUGCCGACCUUUCUGGCGUUGUAUGUCGAUUUCGUGGAGCUGUUUGCUUUCCAAUCAUUUGUGCUGCACCUGCUGAGUUGCCAUCGUCUAGGAGCGCGCGUGCGCAUGUACGCGUCUCAAAAAACAAGUAAAUGCACGCGGUCGUGUGUGCUUCUCCGGCCCGCUUCUUUACGGGUUUCUGUUUGUUUUCAUGUCUGUCUGAUCGCUUGCUUCUUCCUAGUUCACAUGGUCGAUUUCACGUCUUUUUUUCACGUGUCUUCAAAUUUUUUUUGUUCUCGAUGAGGUCCACAUGCGUUUUGAGUUUUGUUUUUUAUUCACAACUUUUCGUCUUUUCACAUGUCUCUCUCUUUUGUUGCUGCAUCUUCUCUCCUGUUUUUCACUUCUUUGUUUCAUCCUCCCCCCCACUCCAUCACCCGACCCCUCAAUCACGCCACCCACCCCUCUGCCUGCACGCCGUCCGCCCAGCCCCCCUGACCUUCUUCUUCUGUCUCACUUCCCCCUUGAGUAUUUUCGUAGAUUCGCUCGUCCUCUAUCUUUUUUUUUUCACAGGGGCAGCGCCACGAAAGGCAAACUGCGGUUUCUCAUUUUCGGUUUUUGUUUUCUUGGUUGCGGCUGCCGUCGCCCCUUCUUCAAUGGUUGUUGUGGCCGUCUCUUCGUAUGGUUUUGCAUCCUUAACAUCUUCCAUGUGCUUCUCUCCGUCGCAUGCUUCCCCCUUUAUUUGCAUUGCUCUCUCCCUCCCUCCCCGUACGUUCCUCUCUGUCUUGCCGUUGUUGUUGUGUGUGCGUGUGUUUGUGUGUCUGUUUUUUUUUUUGGAGGGUCGUCUUUCUGUUUCCAUUCACCGGCAGCCCCUCACAUGCGACACGUUCACACACGAGGUGCCGCCCCUUCGCUCGAAAAGCGGUAGAAAAGACAACCGAAAAGACGUAAAGUGGUGCCUUCGCGUACUUGCGUGCGUGUGUCUCCCACUCCUUUCCCGCUCCUACUCCACGUGCUCGUAUCCGUUUUCACGUGCCUUUCGACCUGUGCAGGUGUCGAGGUGAGGAGGCGAUCACCAGCCCCCCUCCCCCGCCUCCUCCCUACCGUAUGUCACACGCGUUCGUCUGUGUGGAUAAGCAUAGACGCUGUAAUGCAUCCCGUUUCUCUUGUUGCUGCUCCUUUCUUGUUUCGUGCUGUGCUCCCCACUCACUUUUGCAG
rnacentral:misc_RNA from 1 species